AUCCCGGCUGAAUCAAAAUCAGAUGUGUCAAAAUUUUACACAAAAUUACAAGUUUUAACUUAUUGGGCGUAUUUAUUUAUUUAUUGAAAACUAUAUCAAUUCAAUGGCUUUCUUCCUGAUCCGCUUGGCUUUGGUGGCCGGUGCAGUUUAUGGAACCCAAGAGCUGGGAAUUUGGGAAAACUCCCACCACACACAGGUGCUCUUCGAAGGCGCCAAACGGGAGGUGAGUCCCUACACCGAGGACCUGAUGAACCGAUUCUGCUGCUGGCGCUGCGACAAGUGCAACGAGGAUGUGGAGGUGAAGCCCUGGCAGGAGUCCAUGGUGGAUGCCUGGAAUGAGACGAUCAAGAAGACGUUCAACGCCUUGGGCGUCCAGGUUCCCUUCUAUUACAAGCGAUUCUCGGAUGACUUUCAGCGGAGUAUCGACGACAUGGUGCACGAAAAGGUGGAAGUAGAUACCAAUGCUAAGGAUCGCCCCAAAAGUAAAAAAUAGUCAUACUCCAAAUUUUGAAUUAAAAGCGAAGUCUCUCAUCAGUUUUUCCGGAAAACAAACAACAUAAAUUUAAAUAACAUUUCAAUUAUUUUAUUGCUGCAUGCGUGGCUUUUUCACGGCUCCUCCUGGUACUCCAGCAGUCGAGCUCUGGGAAGAAGCUGGCACGUAGCCCCCCGUGACUCUAGUGGUGUACAUCCUAGGAGUC